rnacentral:rRNA from 1 species
UACGGAGGGUGCAAGCGUUAUCCGGAUUCAUUGGGUUUAAAGGGUACGUAGGCGGAUAUAUAAGUCAGUGGUGAAAUCCCGGAGCUCAACUUCGGAACUGCCAUUGAAACUGUAUAUCUUGAAUUUGGUUGAAGUGGGCGGAAUAUGACAUGUAGCGGUGAAAUGCAUAGAUAUGUCAUGGAACACCAAUAGUGAAGACAGCUCACUAAGCCACGAUUGACGCUGAGGUACGAAAGCAUGGGGAGCGAACAGG